CUGACGGGGAAACCCUAAAUCAUCCUUGUUUAAUGAACCUUAAACUAAGGUAAAAAUGCCUUAAUAAACUAGGAGGACGACAAGACCCUAUAAAACUUUACCACAUCUAUUUAAAACCAAAGAGUACAGCUAUUUAAAAUAUUAGUGGUUAGCUGGGGCGGCCAUCCCCCUCCGGGGGUUACCUUAACACCUUGAGUGACCCCUAGAACCCUUCUUAGUAGAAAGACCAAGUUACUUUAGGGAUAACAGCGUAAUUGUUUCGUAGAGCCCCCAUCGAUGAGACAGUUUACGACCUCGAUGUUGAAUUGGAGACCCUUCUGGGAGCAGCCCCUCAGGAAGGAAGUCUGUUCGACUUUUAAUUCUCCACAUGAU
rnacentral:rRNA from 1 species